CGUUGAAACACCGUUUCUCGUAAGAUCGCUGACGUUAAGCAACGUCGAGCUUGUUCAAUACCUAGAUGGGUGACCCCUUGAAAAUAGCAAGUGCGGUAAG